GACGAACGCUGGCGGCGUGCUUAACACAUGCAAGUCGAACGAAGUGGCGAACGGGUGAGUAACGCGUAAUCAACCUGCCCUUCAGAGGGGGACAACAGUUGGAAACGACUGCUAAUACAGCAUACUGAAGGAGGGGAUUGCGUCUGAUAAGCUCGUUGGAGGGGUAACGGCCCACCAAGGCGAUGAUCAGUAGCCGGGCUGAGAGGAUGAACGGCCACAAUGGGACUGAGACACGGCCCAGACUCCUUCGGGAGGCAGCAGUGGGGAAUCUUCCGCAAGGGAGGAAAGGCUGACGGAGCAACGCCGCGUGGGUGAUGACGGCCUUCGGGUUGGAAAGCUCUGUUAAGCGGGACGCGGUACCGGAAUAGAAAGCCACGGCUAACUACGUGCCAGCAGCCGCGGUAAUUC
rnacentral:rRNA from 1 species